GCUCCAAGAGCAUAUCAUAAAGCUGCUGCAGUUAAAAAGCUCGUAGUUGGAAGUCUGUGCGGGAAGGGGAAUGGCUCUGCCGUGCCUGGUCCUGCACAUCCGUCAGAACAGACUCAGUGGCAUUGAGUUGUCGCUGUGUUGAUCUGGCACUUUACCUUGAGCAAAUUAGAGUGUUCCAGGCAGGCCAGCGCCUGAAUAGU
rnacentral:rRNA from 1 species